CCUACGGGAGGCAGCAGUGGGGGAUAUUGCACAAUGGGGGGAACCCUGAUGCAGCGACGCCGCGUGGGUGAAGGAGUGCUUCGGCAUGUAAAGCCCUAUCGGCAGGGAAGAAACAAGACGGUACCUGACUAAGAAGCCCCGGCUCACUACGUGCCAGCAGCCGCGGUAAUACGUAGGGGCGAGCGUUAUCCGGAUUCACCGGGCGUAAAGGGGGCUUAGUCGGCCAAGCAAGUCAGGGGUGAAAGCGCGGGGCCCAACCCCGGGACUGCCCUUGGAACUGCAUGGCUGGAGUGCGGGAGGGGGAGGCGGAAUGCCUGGUGUAGCGGUGAAAUGCGUAGAUAUCAGGAGGAACACCGGCGGCGAAGGCGGCCUGCUGGACCGCGACUGACGUUGAGGCUCGAAAGCGUGGGGAGCGAACAGGAUUAGAUACCCUUGUAGUC
rnacentral:rRNA from 1 species